ensembl:snRNA U6 U6 spliceosomal RNA
GUGCUUGCUUCAGCAGCACAUAUACAAAAAUUGGAACAAUACAGAGAUUAGCAUGCCCCCUGUGUAAGGAUGACAUGCAAAUUUGUGAAACAUCCCAUAUUUUU